rnacentral:rRNA from 1 species
UACGUAGGGCGCAAGCGUUGUCCGGAAUUAUUGGGCGUAAAGAGCUCGUAGGCGGUCUGUUGCGUCCGCUGUGAAAACCCAGGGCUUAACCCUGGGCUGGCAGUGGAUACGGGCAGACUAGAGGUAGGUAGGGGAGAAUGGAAUUCCCGGUGUAGCGGUGAAAUGCGCAGAUAUCGGGAGGAACACCGGUGGCGAAGGCGGCAUCCUGGACCGGCAUUGACGCUGAGGCGCGAAAGCCAGGGGAGCCAAAGCGGGG